rnacentral:rRNA from 1 species
GACGAACGCUGGCGGCGUGCUUAACACAUGCAAGUCGAACGGAAAGGCCCUGCUUUUGUGGGGUGCUCGAGUGGCGAACGGGUGAGUAACACGUGAGUAACCUGCCCUUGACUUUGGGAUAACUUCAGGAAACUGGGGCUAAUACCGGAUAGGAGCUCCUGCUGCAUGGUGGGGGUUGGAAAGUUUCGGCGGUUGGGGAUGGACUCGCGGCUUAUCAGCUUGUUGGUGGGGUAGUGGCUUACCAAGGCUUUGACGGGUAGCCGGCCUGAGAGGGUGACCGGCCACAUUGGGACUGAGAUACGGCCCAGACUCCUACGGGAGGCAGCAGUGGGGAAUAUUGCACAAUGGGCGGAAGCCUGAUGCAGCAACGCCGCGUGCGGGAUGACGGCCUUCGGGUUGUAAACCGCUUUCGCCUGUGACGAAGCGUGAGUGACGGUAAUGGGUAAAGAAGCACCGGCUAACUACGUGCCAGCGGCCGCGGUGAUACGUAGGGUGCGAGCGUUGUCCGGAUUUAUUGGGCGUAAAGGGCUCGUAGGUGGUUGAUCGCGUCGGAAGUGUAAUCUUGGGGCUUAACCCUGAGCGUGCUUUCGAUACGGGUUGACUUGAGGAAGGUAGGGGAGAAUGGAUUUCCUGGUGGAGCGGUGGAAUGCGCAGAUAUCAGGAGGAACACCAGUGGCGAAGGCGGUCUUCUGGGCCUUUCCUGACGCUGAGGAGCGAAAGCGUGGGGAGCGAACAGGCUUAGAUACCCUGGUAGUCCACGCUGUAAACGGUGGGUACUAGGUGUGGGGUCCAUUCCACGGGUUCCGUGCCGUAGCUAACGCUUUAAGUACCCCGCCUGGGGAGUACGGCCGCAAGGCUAAAACUCAAAGGAAUUGACGGGGCCCCGCACAAGCGGCGGAGCAUGCGGAUUAAUUCGAUGCAACGCGUAGAACCUUACCUGGGUUUGACAUGGAUCGGGAGUGCUCAGAGAUGGGUGUGCCUCUUUUGGGGUCGGUUCACAGGUGGUGCAUGGCUGUCGUCAGCUCGUGUCGUGAGAUGUUGGGUUAAGUCCCGCAACGAGCGCAACCCUUGUUCACUGUUGCCAGCACGUUAUGGUGGGGACUCAGUGGAGACCGCCGGGGUCAACUCGGAGGAAGGUGGGGAUGACGUCAAGUCAUCAUGCCCCUUAUGUCCAGGGCUUCACGCAUGCUACAAUGGCUGGUACAGAGAGUGGCGAGCCUGUGAGGGUGAGCGAAUCUCGGAAAGCCGGUCUCAGUUCGGAUUGGGGUCUGCAACUCGACCUCAUGAAGUCGGAGUCGCUAGUAAUCGCAGAUCAGCAACGCUGCGGUGAAUACGUUCCCGGG